GCCCAGAACUGGAUACAGUACUCCAGGUGAGGCCUGACCUGGACAGAGUAGAUGGGGGAACCACCUCUCUUGACCUGCAGGCCAUGCUCCUUUUAAUGCACGCCAGGAUGCCAUUGACCUUCUCGGCCAUUGGGGCACAAUGCUGGUUCAUUGCCAAGCUGUCAUCCACCGGGAAUCCCAGGUCCUUCUCCACAAAGCUCCACUGCAGUGGCUUAUGCCCCAACCUGUAUUGAUACUCAUGGUUACUCCUUCCCAGGAAACAGAAACAGCAAGAAAGCUGCACACAAAGCUUGUAUCACUGCAAGUGUCCUGUAGAGCUCGUUGGUGCAUGGAGACUUGGCCUUUAAUGAAGAAAUUUGCAUUCAUAUGCAGGCGUGGAUGUGUGGACAUCAGUCCAGACUCUGGGACUGUUAUUUCAUUGAGUCAAAAGAAAUUUGCACAUGAAAGCCACAUCCGCAUUACUUAACUCUGCAGCUCACUCAGUAUUGGCUUCCUUUUAGACAAAACUACGUCUGAACCUCUGACUAAAUCUCCAGAGGAUUUAUUUUACUUCUCUUGGAUAUCUGCUAGAUUUGACAAGUGGUGAACACAUUCUGUGUAAAUACCAUUUGAGGUGUUACUUACCCUUUCCCCCAUUUCUGAAUUUCUUCUUAGAACAAAGCCACAUAACUGCAGAAUUUUCCCUACCUUCCUCAGCCAGUCCUACUGCCAGAUGGCAAUGUGAAGGCAUUCAUCUUUUCAAUAUAUCCAUGCCUUUCCAAUUUAAUUGCAAAAUUUAUUCUCACGUGCAAUCAGGAAUUAAAGGAAAAGGCAUGUCUGAUGGUAAAUAUCGAUUUCAAUAGACCAAAAAAAAGACUGCAAAUUGUGUUGCAAUAAGAUUGGUUAUCUGAAAUAAAACAUUAUACAGGAAAUAGAUACUGGGCCAUAGCAUACAUAAAGCUCAUUAUCAAUAUGGUCAAUUCUUCUGCCAUCAAUGCACAUGUACAAAUGCUUAUGGCUCCUCAGCUGCAAAAAUACAUUAGUGAUUCUCUACAAAUUGCAUUAAUGUUACAACACUUGGUAGGAAGGUCAGCUGUUGGCCUUUUUGGCUCCUGCUGCUAUCAUAUUUAUGAUGUAAACAUAAUUUCUCUUUCUCUCUCUCAGAUAAAUACAUAAGUGAAGCAGAAGGGAAA